AGCUCUGCUUUUGAAUGAGUUCUUUGCUUCUGCCUGAGAGGAAGAGAGAAGGAAUAUUGUGCUUUUCAUCAACCACAGCAAGAGUCAUUUGAGUUUGAAACACAGCUAGUUUUUAAGGAAACUAUACCAUGGUCUUCUGGAAUGGGAAAAGCUUUUUCUUUCAAGGGACAAAAGUCUAAAGCAUGGACUUCAGCCUUCAAGAGGACUAUUUACUGAGACUUCUGUAAGAACAUUAUCUUCUUAUAAACUAGAAGCAAGAAGUAUUCAAGGUGUUAAUGAGUAUUACUAAAUAAAACAGUUCUAAAGUCAAAUCACUGGGAAAGCAAAUGUUUUACUUUAUUGUAUUAUUUUUAUUUUACAGCCUUAACUAUGCUGAUGUACAUUUUGAAUGUCCAGUGGGGACAUAUUCAGGAUUUCUUAAACUUGUUUGACCUUAGAAUACCUCCUUAUUUUGUAGAAUUUGUAUUGAUAUCUC
rnacentral:lncRNA from 1 species